rnacentral:rRNA from 1 species
CACGUAGUUAGCCGGGGCUUCUUAGUCAGGUACCGUCAUUAUCUUCCCUGCUGAUAGAGCUUUACAUACCGAAAUACUUCUUCACUCACGCGGCGUCGCUGCAUCAGGGUUCCCCCCAUUGUGCAAUAUUCCCCACUGCUGCCUCCCGUAGGAGUCUGGACCGUGUCUCAGUUCCAGUGUGGCCGAUCACCCUCUCAGGUCGGCUACGUAUCGUCGCCUUGGUAAGCCGUUACCUUACCAACUAGCUAAUACGGCGCGGGUCCAUCUAUAAGUGAUAGCAAAACCAUCUUUCACUUUAGAACCAUGCGGUUCUAAAUGUUAUCCGGUAUUAGCUCCGGUUUCCCGAAGUUAUCCCAGUCUUAUAGGUAGGUUACCCACGUGUUACUCACCCGUCCGCCGCUAACUUCAAAGGAGCAAGCUCCUUAUCUGUUCGCUCGACUUGCAUGUAUUAGGCACGCCGCCAGCGUUCAUCCUGAGCCAGGAUCAAACUCU